rnacentral:lncRNA from 1 species
CGGGCUCGGCUUUUGUCCCGUGUCGCCUGCUGUGUGCAUAGCACCCCCCGGGCUUGUCGGGCGGCUCCCCAGAACCACUCACACUAAUGUGCUGCUAACUGGGACAGAUCCGUGGGACACAGGAACACCUGUCGGACUCAGACCCGUAACUUUACCGCCAAAGUCGGUCUUCACCCCAAGUAGCUUCUGCUACUAGGUCUUUAAAUGUAUGUUCAGUUUAAGCAUUUUCGGCAUUUCCCAGACAUCUCCUGCAAAUGCCUAUUUUGCUACCGAAGAUAAAUGGUGAAGGGGCUGUUUAAAAACCGCAACCAGUUUUCUAUACUAUUUUUAAAAUAACGCUCUCAUUUAAAAGAAAAUCAAAUAAAAAGGAAUUCUAGUUUUCAGAUACACUUCAGAGAUCGAAGCAAACUUUUUGCCUUUUAUUCAGAAGCCUGUUUGCCUUUAAGUGGACUUACCAGCAAAAUAGGUGGAACUUCCUCUUUUCAAAAAAAAAAAAAAAGGCAACUGGAAUUGUGAAGAGAGGUGAUUUUCCAGGUCGCACUUUGAGUCUAAUAUAAUUCCACAUUCUUUUUACCCUUUUUCUUAGUCUAGAUUUAGAAUUAGGUUCCACGUCAUUUCUUUCUCUGUAUUCAUAGUUACUUGGUCCUCCCCCGUUUUCUUGAAAUAAGAGAGGUCAUAACACAUACAUAAUUCUAGAGGGGGCAGGGAGGUGACACAGGUCACUUCCCAGACUGUUCCCAUUCGGGGUUGAGAGUAAGAAAACCGUGAAUCGAAACACCUAGAAAGACCAGGGGUGUUAACAGCCUAAGACCGUCUUCAAAACUCUGGAGUCGGAGAUUUUUGUCCACUGAAUGAAUAUUCAGAGAGGCUCCUGGGCCCCCCAGUGAUGACAGUCGAGGUCAGACGACACAAAUCAAAAAACAAGAAUGAAGCGCGUCCCUGCAGAGAAACACUGGAGAGCAGUUACAGACAAGAGCUACGUCCACUUGCCUCGACCUCAUCAGUGGGAUCCUUCUCCAAAAUGUUCAUAUCAAAGUAGGAUGAAUAUAACAGAAAUGAAUUUUCUGGCCUAAAAAAAAAAAAAGUAAAAGUUUUCUUUUUGAUCUUAAAACAUGGAUUAUUUCUAUGGAGCUCUUCAACGUGAGUAAAAUGCCCCCAGUUAAGUAAUGCAGGAGAUCGUGGUCUGAAAUAGGGCCAAUUUAGGUCUUUUUGUCCCAUAGUCCUAUUUUUGAAUUAUUAAGUCAAUUCCUCUGGUCCCUGGGUGAGAGAGGGGGUUGGGCAGCAGGGAGUGACCUCGUUGGUAAAACUUAAAACACAGCACUGCAGUCGCAGGGACUUCCUCCCGUUAGAGGAAACCUCUGAUUUUUUAACCUUCCAAAGAGGAGGGGGAAAGUAGCAGUUUUGCCAGGAUUGAAACAGCUGAAGUGACUUUUUAACUUGUAUUUUCUGAAAUAGAGGACACAUACUCUUCUUCAAUUAAAAAGCCCCUUGUAGGGACUUUGGCAAAUGCUAACACCGUUGCUUUACAAUGUUUACAGUUCAGAAAAUACGACGGCAGAAAAUCCUCAUUCAUUUAACAUUGAAAAGCUGCGAGUGGCUUCUUUAAUGUUGAAUAGUACACCACGAUAUCGAGCAUGAACUUUCUAAAUGUUUUAUAUUUACACAUAAAAAUAUAUUGGUGGCUCACACCCGGAGAGAUGCUAGAAUAGGGCAGAAAUUGUUAACUGGAGAAUGGCUGUUUCUCAGGAAUGUAGCAAAUUUAAGAUGUUCUCUGUGCUGCCCAAGCCUCCCACCCCCCACUCGAAGACUGGUGUGAACGGGCUCGGCAGUGUUGCAAAGCUAACGGAAACCCUUUUUUCUAAUCAAGUCAGGUGAACGUGGAUUCUUAGUCAACAAUAUUAUUCACUCUACACGAAUUAUAUAGUCACUGAAUGGAGUCAGUGAUUCCUCUUAAUUUUCAGGGGGAAAGCUGAAUUCCAGAAAUCAACAUUUAUUCUGAUUGUUAGGCUGUACAUUUUAAUUUUGCCAUUUAGCAUUCUAAAUAUCAAAUACGAACAUCACAUGAUAAAUUUGUUCCAUGGUGUGUGCGCUGUGCAUCACCUAUCACUUGCCAUUUAAAACAUCCUUCCAGGAAACAGAUGCUAGUCUGAAAGUAAUAGAUUGUAUAUUUGUAGUUUUUAAACUAUUUGUAGCAAUGUCCCAACGAUUACCAUACUAAAUGAUCAUCAGUGUAUAUUUUUGUGCAGUUGCCCUACGACAGUUCUUGGUUCUAAAACUUAUUUUAUCAAAUAAGCCUAUAAUCUUAUAAAUAACCAUUUAUAAAAUUUAUGGAGACGACGCCCGCCCCAUUCACAUCAUGUGGACCAGAUCUGUGGAGUUCUUUUUUUGUAAAUUCAUGAACACCAUGCAGUUCGGUGCCUAAUAAAUGCUUUUUAAUGAUGAACAUUUCUAUAAUGCUUCUUUAAGAGAUCACAAUCUGAUUUUUCUCACAUUAAAAUAACUGAAGUCACUUGUGAGACUUAGUUAUACUUUGCUGCAUUUUAAUUAACCUUCAGUGGCUAUUAAAAUGGAAUGUAAGUUAAACUUUGAAGGAAAGGAAAUAAAUGUUUUCCAUUUUUCGUCUUGAUUUAUUUUCUGUAUGAAAGCAGCUGUGUUUUUGAUAGGUUUAUGGUUUGCAUGAAUUAAUAUUUAAAGUGGCCUGGGCCAAUGCAUGGCUGUUGCUGUAAAUCUUGAUGUUUAUUUCUGCCUUAUAAAAUUCUAUCAUGGCCUACCUGGAAUUUAAUAUUCAGUGGACAAAUUAAUUGGUUCUUUGCACAACUUUUUUUAAUAAGUAAAUUAUUUUACAAACAAAUUUAAUUGCAACUUUUGUUUAGCUUGCUUCUAAGAACUUUCCUUAAUAAAGCUCACAAAACUUCUCAGCAAAUAAAUCUCCCGUAAGUAGGAAAAAAGCUAGAUUUCGUACAUGCUUACUUUGAAUUAACAGCAACUUUCCAUAGGUAAAUCUGCUCUUGCAAAAACGUGAGCAGAAUAUUAAAAAAUAAUAUCUUUAUGUUUCAUGGUUCUAGAAUAGAAGCCAUAAAUGCAGUAAAUACUGUUUGCUGUUUAUUUAGCUACUUCAAGCUUCAUUUUUCACAUUUUCAAGUUUAUUAAGUUUUUUUUUUAAAAAAAGGCAGCCUUGGAAGGCAGCUACUAUGGAAAAUCGAAGUUUGCAUUAAAGAUAAAAUAGUUUUUUCAGCUCCAUGAAAAACCAUUCCUGCUGAAACUGCUGUCGAAAUUGUGAAGCUGCAUGAGUGGAGACUAUUGAAUCUGUGAUUAUAGUUUUCUCAGGUUUGUUUAUCUCGAUGUUCAAUGCACUGUGUUUUAUAAAUAGUUAUUAAAGUUGAGUAAUACUCAGUUCUAUGCAGUGUUAUGUGUCAUUGGCCUUUUGUGAAUGUGCAUGUUUUAAACUGCAAAUUUUAAACAUUUUGUCCUCUCAUUGUUAUUAAAAAUUAAAUAAACCGUACCAUUACAUAAAGAAAA